CCUACGGGAGGCAGCAGUGAGGAAUAUUGGUCAAUGGACGAGAGUCUGAACCAGCCAAGUAGCGUGAAGGAUGACUGCCCUAUGGGUUGUAAACUUCUUUUAUAUGGGAAUAAAAUGUUCCACGUGUGGGAUGUUGUAUGUACCAUAUGAAUAAGGAUCGGCUAACUCCGUGCCAGCAGCCGCGGUAAUACGGAGGAUCCGAGCGUUUUCCGGAUUUAUUGGGUUUAAAGGGAGCGUAGGUGGAUUGUUAAGUCAGUUGUGAAAGUUUGCGGCUCAACCGGAAAAUUGCAGUUGAAACUGGCAGUCUUGAGUACAGUAGAGGUGGGCGGAAUUCGUGGUGUAGCGGUGAAAUGCUUAGAUAUCACGAAGAACUCCGAUUGCGAAGGCAGCUCACUGGACUGCAACUGACACUGAGGCUCGAAAGUGUGGGUAUCAAACAGGAUUAGAUACCCCAGUAGUC
rnacentral:rRNA from 1 species